GGCGAACGGCUGAGUAACGCGUAGGUGACCUGCCCGGAAGUGGGGAAUAACUGCCCGAAAGGGUGGCUAAUACCGCAUGUGGCCACACGUUCAUUCAUGUGACCAAAGCCGCAAGGCGCUUCCGGAGGGGCCUGCGUUCGAUUAGCUCGUUGGUGGGGUAACGGCUCACCAAGGCGACGAUCGAUAGGUGGUCUGAGAGGAUGAUCACCCAGACUGGGACUGAGACACGGCCCAGACUCCUACGGGAGGCAGCAGUCGGGAAUUUUGCUCAAUGGGCGCAAGCCUGAAGCAGCAACGCCGCGUGAGGGAUGAAGGCCUUCGGGUUGUAAACCUCUUUUCUCAGGGACGAUGAUGACGGUACCUGAGGAAUAAGCCACGGCUAACUACGUGCCAGCAGCCGCGGUAAUACGUAGGUGGCAAGCGUUGUCCGGAUUUACUGGGCGUAAAGAGCGCGCAGGCGGCCGAGUAAGUCGAAUGUGAAAGCCCCCGGCUCAACUGGGGAAGGUCAUUCGAUACUGUUCGGCUCGAAGAUAGGAGAGGGAAGCGGAAUUUCAGGUGUAGUGGUGAAAUGCGUAGAUAUCUGAAGGAACACCAGUGGCGAAGGCGGCUUUCUGGCCUAUUCUUGACGCUGAGGCGCGAAAGCUAGGGGAGCGAACGGGAUUAGAUACCCCGGUAGUCC
rnacentral:rRNA from 1 species